rnacentral:rRNA from 1 species
UCGACCUCAGAUCAGGUGGGACUCCCCGCCGAAUUUAAGCAUAUUAGUAAGCGGAGGAAAAGAAACUAACGAGGAUUCCCCCAGUAGCUGCGAGCGAAGAGGGAAGAGCCCAGCACUGAAUCCCAAAGGCCUCGCCUUUAGGGAAAUGUAGUGUUUAGGAGUGCCCGUUUAACCCGGGGUCCGUGCACCGCGUUCAAGUCCAUCUUGAACGGGGCCACGGUCCGAAGAGGGUGCCAGGCCCGUAGACGACCGGUGCCGGCCCCGGGUGGGUGCCUCCUUAGAGUCGGGCUGCUUGAGAGUGCAGCCCUAAGCGGGUGGUAAACUCCAUCUAAGGCUAAAUACAACCACGAGACCGAUAGAGAACAAGUACCGUGAGGGAAAGUUGAAAAGAACUUUGAAGAGAGAGUUCAAGAGUACGUGAAACCGCUCAGGGGUAAACGGAAAAGACCCGAAGCCCCGAAAGGGGAGAUUCACGUCUUCUCGCCGGGUCCGCACCCCGACAGGGGGGAUGGCCUUUCGCCCCGUCCGGCUCGUCCGUGGCGGUGGGUGGGCCGCCUCCCACGGGGCUGCGUUCCCGCGGGGGACCGCACUUCUCCCUCAGUAGGACGUCGCGACCCGCUCUGCGGCGGUCUAAGGUCCGGAAGAACGCCUGUCUCGUGGCCACCACUCACGUGGCGGUCGCGUGACAGCUCUCCGGCACCGCGGCCGUCGGUCCGGGCGGUAUCGAAAGACUAUGGCGCUGGGCCGCUCCUCCGAGAGCGCCGCCGUCUCCCCGCAAGACCGGGCGUUUACCAGGGGGUGCCUUAACGGGCACGCCCGGCUAGGCGCUCGGGCCCCUGGCGGGCGAUGACUCCGGCACGGCCCAGUCCGCCUGUCUGCGGCGCUUCAGAUUCGGGAACUUAUCCGACCCGUCUUGAAACACGGACCAAGGAGUCUAGCGUGUGCGCGAGUCAUUGGGUGCAAAACCUAAAGGCGCAAUGAAAGUGUCCGGGGUUCUUCUCCUUCGGGAGUCGGCCCCUUCGGGAGGAUGGGCUUCCGUACGAUCACUCGUGUCGGUGCCCCGCACUCCCGGGGCGUCUCGUUCUCAUUACGAGUGGAGACGCACCAGGAGCGCACACGCUGGUACCCGAAAGAUGGUGAACUAUGCCUGGCCAGGACGAAGCCAGGGGAAACCCUGGUGGAGGUCCGAAGCGAUUCUGACGUGCAAAUCGAUCGUCUGAGCUGGGUAUAGGGGCGAAAGACCAAUCGAACCAUCUAGUAGCUGGUUCCCUCUGAAGUUUCCCUCAGGAUAGCUGGCUCUCGGGAAGAGACGAGUCUCAUCCGGUAGAGCGAAUGAUUAGAGGUGAUGGGGUCGAAACGACUUCAACCUAUUCUCAAACUCCCAAUAGAUGAGAGCCCCGGCUUGCUUAAAAGUGAAGCCGCGGGACUCGGAUCAGAGAUGCCAAGUGGGCCAAUUUUGGUAAGCAGAACUGGCGCUGUGGGAUGAACCAAACGCAGAGUUAAGGCGCCUGAUUCGACGCUCAUUUGAAACCAUGAAAGGCGUUGGUUGCUUAAGACAGCAGGACGGUGGCCAUGGAAGUCGGAAUCCGCUAAGGAGUGUGUAACAACUCACCUGCCGAAGCAACUAGCCCUGAAAAUGGAUGGCGCUGUAGCGUCGUGCCUAUACUCUGCCGUCAACGGCAAAGCGGGCCGCCCCCCAGCGGGGAGUCGCCGUUAAGCCUUGACGAGUAAGAGGGUCGCGGCGGUGAGCGCGGAAGGGUCUGGGCGCGAGCCCGCCUGGAGCCGCCGCCGGUGCAGAUCUUGGUGGUAGUAGCAAAUACUCCAGCGAGGCCCUGGAGGACUGAUGUGGAGAAGGGUUUCUUGUGAACAGCUGUUGCACAAGAGUCAGUCGAUCCUAAGCCCUAGGAGAAAUCCGAAGAGAAUGGUUGCCGUUAUUUAUAUAAACGUAGCAAAUAUGCAAAAGGAAGAAGAACACGGUAGAGUCUCCCCCUCGGGGGCGUCUCUCCGUGUUUUUUUUUUCCUUUUAUUUGUCUUAUGUGCAGGCACCGUUCGGGCGAAAGGGAAUCCGGUUCCUAUUCCGGAACCCGGCAGCGGAACCGCUCCAAUUCGGGCCCUCACCAGAGGACUCGUCGGGGUGACCCGAAAUGACCCGGAGAAGCCGUAGGGAGGUCCGGGGAGAGUUGUCUCUUCUCUAUAAGCGUUCGAGUUCCCUGGAAUCCUCUAGGAGGGAGAUAGGGUUUGGAACGCGAAGAGCACCGCACUUACGGCGGUGUCCGGAUCUUCCCCUCGGACCUUGAAAAUCCGGGCGAGGGCCACGGGGAACACCGCGCCGGCUCGUACCCAUAUCCGCAGCAGGUCUCCAAGGUGAAUAGCCUCUAGUCGAUAGAAUAAUGUAGGUAAGGGAAGUCGGCAAACCCGAUCUGUAACUUCGGGAUAAGGAUUGGCUCUGAGGAUCGUGGCGCGCCGGGCUUGGUCGGGAAGUGGAGCGGUGCCAACGUGC